AGGACAAUCUGGCUGAGAUAUCUGUCACCCAGUUGAUAGCCUGUAUUGAUUGGGCUAAUCUGGCUAACUAGGCUGAUGCCCCUUUCCUCCU
ensembl:misc_RNA predicted gene, 26210